UUUCACGUGAUCCCUACGGACUCUUUCAAUGAAAGGGGCCACGAGGUGUGGCCAGAGCGAGUGCCCGGAGGGUGGUAGGUCAUCGCGCCCCUCGCACCUGACACCUGGGGCGCCCCUGGCCUGAGUUAACGCGCCAAUCACGGCUGCACUCUCCUGAACGAGGAACUGGCGGGGCGGGAAAAAUCGACUUGGUUCCGGGUUCACAAGCGGAUUUACUUUGAAAAAAUUGGAUUUAUGACCCAGCAAUUCCCUUGGUGUCUAUCUCAGAGUAACCCUCGCACAAUGCAUAAAAAGUAAGCGGAUGUUAUUGUUCUUCGGCCCUCCAGAAAGUCAACAGGCAAAAUACCUUGAGCAUCCCAAAAAGUUGCUGCUAUUACUUCGGCUCUUGACCAGUCCACUUUUGAUUUGACUGGACCACUUGCACCUCUUGCAUAUAAGGACACAACCAGAAGACAUCAAUCUGCAAACCAGAAAGUGGGCUCUCAUAAGACACUGGGUCUGCUGACACCUUGAUCUUGGACUUCUCAGCCUCCAGAACUGAGAAGAGACAGACUCAGACCCAGAGAGGAGAACACCAUGUGGAGAUGGAGGCAGAGGUUGGAGUGAUGCACCUACAAGCCAAGGAACACCGCGGAUGGCAGCAGCUGCCAGAAGCCAGGAGAGAGGCAUGGAGCAGGUGCUCCCUCAGAGUUGCCAGCAGGAACCAACCCUGCCAACACUUUGAUUUCAAACCUCUGUCUUUCAGAAUGGUGACAGAAUAAAUUUCUGUUGUUUUAAGCCA